UUGAUGGAGAGUUUGAUCCUGGCUCAGGACGAACGCUGGCGGCGUGCCUAAUACAUGCAAGUCGGGCGGAGCCCGAGGGGAGCUUGCUCCUUAUCGGGCUCAGCGGCGGACGGGUGAGUAACACGUGGGUAACCUGCCCGUAAGACCGGGAUAACUCCGGGAAACCGGGGCUAAUACCGGAUAACACCGGGGGCCGCAUGGCUUCCGGUU
rnacentral:rRNA from 1 species